GUUUCUUUUCUUUUCUUCUCUUUUAUCACCGUUUCCUCUUCUUCUUUUUCCUUUCUUUUGUCCUCGUUCCAUGCAUGAGCAAUGAAGGGCUUUCUUUGGCUUCCCCUCUCACAAUCUCCAAAAAUAGAGACACGCAGGCAGAGAAAGCUGUACGGCAUUUGCAUUCAUUCAUUCACUCAUAAAUCAUUCAUCGAAAAAGAGUGAAAAAA
rnacentral:ribozyme from 11 species